UGGUGGCAAAAUGGCAGAACAUUUUUACUUUAGGGGAUCUAGGGACUUCAUUCUGGCUUCUGACACUUUUGGACCUCCCCUACAGAUUUAGAAUGAGUUACAGUCACACAUUCCAAGGUGAAAGAGGAAAAGAUAAGGUUGAGGAGUACUCUUCACAAACCCUCUGCAAAAUGGCAAUGGCAAAGCUGCAAUGGCCAAUGGCCUUACUUGUUAGACUCCAGCAUUGUCCCAGAGGAGGAUCCCUGUUCCGUACGAUCCAACAUUCCUGAAUGCAUCUCACACCUCUCUUCUGGUUGUCAAAGACACUAAACCGACCUGAGCUUCCCAUUUCACUGUCACCGUGCUCAACGGCUCAGAUGGGAAAAUAGUUCCAUUGCUCCUCAAGAGCACAGACACCAUCGGCAAACUUCAGAGGAGGUUCCUACAGAAGCGGCCUGACUUGACGGGAAGCCUGAACCUCGCCUACAACGGCAAGCCCGUCCAGGGGCACCAGAGCCUGGGAGAGCUGGGGGUGAAGAAUGGGGCUAUAUUCAUCACUUUUCAGAGGUGUUUUGGAGGGUAGAUGUGGAGUAAAAGUGCAGCAAUAGAUGUGAAGGAGGGCUGUUUCCAUUGAUCUUUCCCUUCUCAUGCAAUAUGAACAAUAUCUGUCAAUUAAUUUGUGAUCUAUAAAGAAUAUUUGCAUCAGC